rnacentral:tRNA from 1 species
AGGGAAUUAGUCCAACAAAGACUUCUGAUUUCGGCUCAGACAAUUAUGGUUAGAGUCCAUAAUUCCCUU